rnacentral:rRNA from 1 species
GGUUNGUAANCUUCUUUUGCAGGGGAAUAAAGUGCGGGACGUGUCCUGUUUUGUAUGUACCCUGAGAAUAAGGAUCGGCUAACUCCUAUGCCAGCAGCCGCGGUAAUACGGA